UAUAUAUAAUGAAACGUCCCCUGAAGACCCUGAAACGGAUAACAAACUUGUUAAUAUCCCUUUAAUGUUGGGAUGUUACAACAAUAAAUGUAUUUAAACAUACAGAAUGCAUUAUGUAAAAUGACUCAUCGAAUCUCCGAGGUCAGCAACCAGCAUCGUGUCAGUCAAGGCUUACGGACUUGUUACAAACUGAUCAUCUUAUUCUAGGACAUCCUCGGAGCAGAUAAAUACCACCGAGGCUGUCACAUUCGAGCCUGUACCACUACUCGAUUCGAAGGCACUUGAUAACGGAUGUACCUCGAUGCUAUGCCCUUUCGAGCCUAGAAAGAAUUUCGAGGUUACAUGUCUUCGAGAUUUCCAUCUUACUUCGGAGGUUUUACAACUGGACCAUAAACAUGUAUUUCAUAUAUCUCGAGCUCAUACUUGACGAGUCCAGCUUUCGAGGUCAUAAUUUCUGGUCUCGAAAUCUGGGUGUAACAGUUUGCCCCCUCAAAAGUAUUAGCUCAAAUCCUAUGAGAAGGAAACUUUUGAACUACUUCCAUUGGGAACCGUACCAUCAAAUAUACUCGAGUGUGGACACGCGUCAAACGAGUAUUGAUCACUCAAAGUACUUGAGUACCUUGGAAACCUGCCCACGCCUAUCCGCCUGCCAUUCCUUAUGGUACUAUCAACUCACAAGUCCCUGGCCAUUUGGUCUGAUACGGAAUCUGGCCAAUGGCCCAGAUUAAUCCGACCUUUCUCAUUUCCACGGGAUUAUAAAUAUGACUCUAUUCGUCGUCCCCAUUUUACUUUCACAUUCGAUUUUUCAGAGAGAAAAAACCAUAAACCUCCUUGCCCAUUUCUUGCAUGUUCUCCAAGCCGAGAAGACAAAGCAACGUUGGACUUUUUGAUUCUGUGAGAACGUAUUUGCAGCCGCUUAUACAAUAAUCAAUUUCUCUGUUUUCGCCGAUCGUAUUGUGUAAGUUUUAUGUUCAUGGCUUCGUAAGUACGUAUCUUUGCAUUGUUUUUUCCAUGCAUGUCUAUGUUGUUGCACUGUUGGUCCAUUCAUUAGUUUAACGCAGUGGAAUGUUUCGGCUGACAAACAUUAGAUUUAAAUUAUAACAUUAUUGGUUACAAACCCCAGUUCAUGCGCAAAAGACCCAAAUGUGGUUCUUUCACUGAGUUUUUGAAUUUCGGAUGACAUAUCUUGCACACCAAGAUAUUGGGUACAAAAUCAAGGUUUUUUAAAGAGUGCACGAUUCCCAAAAAUAUCACUUUUUGAGUAACCACCACCUUUUUUUCCCUGAUAUAUCGAGAUUUUCAAUAACAUGUCCACCUUCCUUUCUUUUAGUGGAAUGCACACUUUGAGACUGGCCUCAUCCUUUGGAUCGAGCUUGCCUUGUAGCCUUGACCAUUCGAGCUUAGGUCUUCUAUUUAUCUCAUUAUUUCCUGUUCGCUUGGCCCUCGCCCUUUUUCUUUCUUGUUAGAUGUCACAGAACUCGGGAAAGUGGUGGGGGUCUAAACUUGCGAUUCCUUAUUCACCCGCAACUCUGAGCCCGGAGUCUCCUUUCACUUGGAACCAGUGCUUGAUCCGAGAGCACGAACUGAGGUGUGAGCAAGAGGACAUUCGAGAUCACUUUCAUCGUCAGAUAAACAAGGUCGAAGAAGGAAAAAGGAAAAAACUAAGGGUCGCCCUCUACCCAGAUUCAGACACCGAGCCCAUACCGAUUCCUCUCGACCCUACGCUCAAAGUGACAGUCGUUUUCAAGCCAGGUGAUCUUCAAUUCUCGCUGAUGGGGGAACCUUCUACCUCGCAGCUGACCUCGAUUCCUACCCCGAGAAGGGAAUUCUUCGAGGCCGAGCACUAUUGGAGCUCGAUCUCAUCGUUAGGGUAGAUUAUUGACAUUCUGGCCCUACACGGCAUAGGAUUGUCGAGCUCGCUGAGGUGUCAAGCUCCGACCUCUCACGAGCGAAGUUGCCGCGCUCCGGGAGAUGGGAAUCCUGACAGUAAGUUGAGGUAUGCAGCUUGGAGCCAGGAGCACAUGAAGGCGGGGGUUGUUUUGCCUUUGAAGUCCUUUUUUAAAGGCUUCUUGGAUUUUGUUGGGCUGGCUCCCUUCCAGCUCAACACCAAUUCUUACAGGGUUCUGUCCGCCCUGAGGUCACUUUACCACGAGCUGAAGUGGGAAGGACCUUCGCCUAAAGAGAUCUUAUAUCUCUUUUGUCUGAAAAGCAAUCCCUCCCGAGCUUAGGGAGGAUACGGCUUCUAUUACCUUUCGAGCUAUCCCAAGGAGAAGAAGAUCUUUGAGGAUCUUCCCAACCAUCCUCCGGACUUCAAGAAGGCCUUCUUCUGGACAGAUGGCCUAGCUCCAUCCCGAUACUAUUCGUUCAGGCGAAUUCAUAAGUAUUCCAAACUUCUUUCUUUUUUGUGCUCGAAUUUUGUUUAGGCUCGUUCUUAGUUAAAAUUUGUUUAUUCUUCCAGUCAACUUCUACCGUCCUACUCCCACCAAGGAGAUGAGAGAGCACAAGGAGGUUGUGCUCCAACUCCUUUAUGGCAGGAGGUCCGUCUCUUAUCUCCUGCACGAAGACAAACUCCGAGCAUGCGGCCUCUUGGAGAAGGAUCAAUCUACAUCUGACUGGUCCAAUAAAAAGUAUGACCAGUGGGAGCUCGUGCCUCUCCCAAUCAGCAACCUUCCUCUGAGGAGAAAUGUGAGGCCUCCAUCUCUAGCUCAGCGUCGCAGGAGUCUGCAAUCGGGGAAUGAAGCCAACUAUGAAGCCUCGAGCUCGAGCUCGAGUGACAGAGGUACAGUCAUCCUUAGCUCGGAUUUGUGGUCUCCCUCACUACUAAAGCAUAAACCCAAUAGAUAAAUACUAUGUAAGGACGAUAGGAACCAUUUCUAUGUAUGGUCUUGGGUAGAUGAGAGGGUACAUAGGUUUGAUAGCUGGCUCGGGAAAUAUGACACCAUGUAUAGUCUGAACGAGGUAUGGGACGGAAUAGCCAUUCAAUAUGGGACUAAUGAAUAUAGAUACCUUUCGAGGUUGACUUCCACUUAUAGGGAAGGUACUCCCUUGCCUCCUCUGAAGAUGGGGGAAUUACGUGGUCGCCGAGCACGAGCUCGGGGGAGAGUUCCAGUGAUAUGGAUUCUGACCUCGACAACGUACUGGCCAGCGGCUGAGCCCAAAGGAGUAAGCGCCCGAGGGGGUCGCAGAAAACAAACUGGCCUACUAAGGUCCUUAAGAGGACCAAGAAGACACCUCCUCCGCCGGCUCCAGCUGCUUUGAGCCCAGUUUUGAGUCCACCUCCUUAGGCCGAGAUGUCCUCUACGACCUUGCCUCCCACUCCUCCUGUGAUCCGGGUCAACCCCACGCUUGGCCCACCUCCGAAAAAACCCUCAGCCUCAAGAACACACCGGCUUUCGAUUUCUACUCACGUCGAUGAGUAUGUGAUCGAUAACGCAGACGUACCUCACGGGGCUACGCUUGGCUCAGACAUUCUGUCUCGGGUGGGCCAGAGGUUUGGCAGCUUCGACGCCCCUCAUUGGCAGUUCUUGAAUGAUGCUCGAGUCUGCAACACUCUUUAUGAGAAGAGCAUCGAGCUCACUACUGCGAAUCUUGUUGUCUAUGCUUAACUUAACUAUAAGUUGAACAACGAGGUCCAUUCGAGCAUGGCCUUUGCUCAGGAGUCGAAGGAUCUCUAACUCAAGCUCAGUGACGAGCUCAAGGCCACAAAGGCAAAGAUGGAGGCAGAAUUUGAGCAGCUAAAGGCCAAGAUAACCAAGCUUGAGGAGCUGAAUGCCCGGCUCGCGGAGUUUGAGAAGAUCAAUGCCCGGGUCGCGGAGCUUGAGAAGAUCAAUGCCAAGCUUGAAGAAGAGAAGGCUGCCACUUUCGAGAUCAUGGAGGGUGAAAAGGCUCGUCUUCUUGAAGAGUUUAAGGAGAAGAAGGAUCGGACAGUCAACCUGGCCAUGUAUAGAAUCUGGGCCAAUAAUGUCAACCUCGACACCAGCUUCUUAGGCCCCCUUGAGGCAAAACUUGUGGCUAAAUGGCAAGCUCGGCUUGAUGAGGAGGAGGUUGCUCGGGAUGAGGCAGAGGGAGCCAGGGAGGAUGCUGAUGCUGAGAAGGCCAAGGAGAAUGCUCCUCCUUCCUAAAUCUUGCUUCGGGGCUGCGUCCCUCUGAAUAUCUUGUAAUAGUCUUUGUGUUUGAUUUUUUACUUUUUAUGCCCCGAGGCCAAGACAAUUCUAUAGCUCGUGAAAGAGCUGCCUUUUUACGAGCUAUUUUCGAGCUCAGACUUAUGAUAUUUGAGAUAUCAUUUUUGACUUUAUUUUAAUAUAUUUGCUUUACA